AAUUUCUGGCUUAGAAAGAUCUUUGGCAAUUGCUAUAUCAAGCUGUUUCUUGAUUGAUAAAUUCUCCAUUUAUGGAAUUUCGUUUUUUAUUUUUCCUAACUUCAUCCUCAGUAUUCGUUUCCAGAUAAUAUACCGCGGUAGACCAGAAAAACCGUGGGGUCAACAGAUUUUCUUUCGGGCGCUUUCGGAUUAUGAAGAAAACAAAGACGGGUGCAAGUACAGCUCUUCGUUCAGUUAUCUUUUUUAUUCGCUGUAGACAAUUCACCGCUCAAAGUACCCUUUAGUGGAUCCAAAUUCCUUACUAAAACUUCCGGGUUGGUUUUGACUGCUGCGCCUGCCGAGAACCUCGACGGCUGCUUUGAUAGGCUUAAGCGAGCCAUGGAUAUUUUGGAGUAAAUGUCUUUAGCUUUCAAAAUUUUUCUACCAUAUCGUGUAGACUACUCCAUCUAGUCUUACAAUCCAAUUUC